rnacentral:rRNA from 1 species
CCUACGGGAGGCAGCAGUGAGGAAUAGUGGUCAAUGGGCGUAAGCCUGAACCAGCCAAGUCGCGUGAGGGAUGAAGGUUCUAUGGAGCGUAAACCUCUUUUAUAAGGGAAUAAAGUGUGGGACGUGUCCGAUUUUGUAUGUACCUUAUGAAUAAGGAUCGGCUAACUCCGUGCCAGCAGCCGCGGUAAUACGGAGGAUCCGAGCGUUAUCCGGAUUUAUUGGGGUUAAAGGGUGCGUAGGCGGCCUUUUAAGUCAGCGGUGAAAGUCUGUGGCUCAACCAUAGAAUUGCCGUUGAAACUGGGGGGCUUGAUUAUGUUUGAGGCCGGCUGCUUGCGUGUUGUAGCCGU